rnacentral:lncRNA from 1 species
CAGAAAAAGGCAAUAUUAACUUGUGCAUUUUUUUAUAUCUUGGCUUUUUUUUUCUGGGCUUUUGAUCCAUACAGAGGCCAUCAAAAUUCUUAAAUGUAAACUUCUGUCAUAAGAGUCAAGAUCUGCUUCUUCCUGGGAUAUAUGUGCCCAUUCUGCAAAAGCUCUGAUGUCUGCUUCUAAAAAUCAGUAAUGAGUUAAGAAAGUGUAACAUAUUCUGAUUUGUGACUUCAAUCUUCAUCUCAGCCACAGAGAAGGCAAAGGCUUGAAACUUCUAAAAGAAAAAGUUCAUUAUGUUGUAGGCACCAACAUCUUUGUCCUCCAUCUUCAUGGAAGUUCGUUGCAGUGAUUCUGUGGAUAACUUGCCUGAUGCUUGUUUUGUCUGUUGGAAUCUUAGCCACAAUGUCUUGGAAAUAUCCUACUUGUUCAAGCAACUGGCAUCAACGUGAAGAAAACUGUUACUAUUUUUCAAAGGACAUGCGUUCUUGGGAAGAAUGUCAGCAUUACAGCAUUGGUUUAGAGUUAAGAUUUCUUAAAUUGACUAUGGAAGAAGAGAUGGUAAUUACAAGAUUUUGUUUCAUAAAUUUAAAUAUCUGAAAAUUUUAAGAAUGAAAGCACUCAAGUUUUAUAUUCUUCUGAAACACUUUCUAUAUUGCAGUCACAGAUAUCUUUACAAUUUCACUGUAAUCAUGAGAGUAUGCUUCAACAACACUUGAGGGCUUCCCUUAGCACUUAGAUUAAUGUACAAAACACGUGUGUAGGGGAUCCAUGGGUGGCUCAGCGGUUUAGUGCCUGCCUUCGGCCUAGGGUGUGAUCCUGGAGUCCCGGAAUCGAGUCCCACAUUGGGCUCCCUGCAUGGAGCCUGCUUCUCCCUCUGCCUGUGUCUCUGCCUCUCUCUCUCUCUCUCUGUCUUUGUGUGUCUCUUAAAUAAAUGAAAUCUUAAAAAACA